UGAGGAAUAUUGGGCAAUGCCCGCAAGGGUGACCCAGCAACGCCGCGUGGAGGAUGAAUGUCGUAAGAUUGUAAACUCCUGUUAGAGGGGAGGAAUAGUACCGGUUGGACCGGUAUAUGACUGUACCCUCAGAGAAAGCCCCGGCUAACUACGUGCCAGCAGCCGCGGUAAUACGUAGGGGGCAAGCGUUGUCCGGAUUUACUGGGUGUAAAGGGCGCGCAGGCGGGAUAAAAAGUCAGUGGUGAAGUCCUACAGCUUAACUGUAGAACUGCCUUUGNUACUUUUAUUCUUGAGUUCGGGAGAGAGAGACGGAAUUCCAGGUGUAGUGGUGAAAUACGUAGAUAUCUGGAAGAACACCAGUUGCGAAGGCGGUCUCUUGGUCCGACACUGACGCUGAGGCGCGAAAGCGUGGGGAGCAAACA
rnacentral:rRNA from 1 species